rnacentral:tRNA from 1 species
GACGAGGUGACCGAGCGGUUAAGGUGAUGGACUGCUAAUCCAUUGUGCAUUGAACGCAUGGGUUCAAAUCCCAUCCUCGUCG